GACGAACGCUGGCGGCGUGCCUAAUACAUGCAAGUUGAGCGCUGAAGGUUGGUACUUGUACCAACUGGAUGAGCAGCGAACGGGUGAGUAACGCGUGGGGAAUCUGCCUUUGAGCGGGGGACAACAUUUGGAAACGAAUGCUAAUACCGCAUAAAAACUUUAAACACAAGUUUUAAGUUUGAAAGAUGCAAUUGCAUCACUCAAAGAUGAUCCCGCGUUGUAUUAGCUAGUUGGUGAGGUAAAGGCUCACCAAGGCGAUGAUACAUAGCCGACCUGAGAGGGUGAUCGGCCACAUUGGGACUGCGACACGGCCCAAACUCCUACGGGAGGCAGCAGUAGGGAAUCUUCGGCAAUGGACGAAAGUCUGACCGAGCAACGCCGCGUGAGUGAAGAAGGUUUUCGGCUCGUAAAACUCUGUUGGUAGAGAAGAACGUUGGUGAGAGUGGAAAGCUCAUCAAGUGACGGUAACUACACAGAAAGGGACGGCUAACUACGUG
rnacentral:rRNA from 1 species